rnacentral:rRNA from 1 species
CGGGAGGCAGCAGUGGGGAAUAUUGGACAAUGGGCGAAAGCCUGAUCCAGCCAUGCCGCGUGUGUGAAGAAGGUCUUCGGAUUGUAAAGCACUUUAAGUUGGGAGGAAGGGCAGUAAGUUAAUACCUUGCUGUUUUGACGUUACCAACAGAAUAAGCACCGGCUAACUUCGUGCCAGCAGCCGCGGUAAUACGAAGGGUGCAAGCGUUAAUCGGAAUUACUGGGCGUAAAGCGCGCGUAGGUGGUUCAGCAAGUUGGAGGUGAAAUCCCCGGGCUCAACCUGGGAACUGCCUCCAAAACUACUGAGCUAGAGUACGGUAGAGGGUAGUGGAAUUUCCUGUGUAGCGGUGAAAUGCGUAGAUAUAGGAAGGAACACCAGUGGCGAAGGCGACUACCUGGACUGAUACUGACACUGAGGUGCGAAAGCGUGGGGAGCAAACAGGAUUAGAUACCCU